AAUGGCAUCGUUUUAAAGUUAAAGAUUUAUCGGUAGAAGAUGACUAUGCGUCCUAUUAGCUAGAUGGUAAGGUAACGGCUUACCAUGGCAACGAUAGGUAGGGGUCCUGAGAGGGAGAUCCCCCACACUGGUACUGAGACACGGACCAGACUCCUACGGGAGGCAGCAGUGAGGAAUAUUGGGCAAUGGAGGCAACUCUGACCCAGCCAUGCCGCGUGCAGGAAGACUGCCCUAUGGGUUGUAAACUGCUUUUAUACAGGAAGAAACGUGCCUACGAGUAGGUGUUUGACGGUACUGUAAGAAUAAGGACCGGCUAACUCCGUGCCAGCAGCCGCGGUAAUACGGAGGGUCCGAGCGUUAUCCGGAAUCAUUGGGUUUAAAGGGUCCGCAGGCGGUCGAUUAAGUCAGAGGUGAAAUCCCAUAGCUUAACUAUGGAACUGCCUUUGAUACUGGUUGACUUGAGUGAUACGGAAGUAGAUAGAAUAUGUAGUGUAGCGGUGAAAUGCAUAGAUAUUACAUAGAAUACCGAUUGCGAAGGCAGUCUACUACGUAUUUACUGACGCUCAUGGACGAAAGCGUGGGGAGCGAACAGGAUUAGAUACCCUGGUAGUCCACGCCGUAAACGAUGGACACUAGUUGUUGGGAAUUAUCUCAGUGACUAAGCGAAAGUGAUAAGUGUCCCACCUGGGGAGUACGAUCGCAAGAUUGAAACUCAAAGGAAUUGACGGGGGCCCGCACAAGCGGUGGAGCAUGUGGUUUAAUUCGAUGAUACGCGAGGAACCUUACCAGGGCUUAAAUGUGGAAUGACAGGGCCAGAGAUAGCUUUUUCUUCGGACAUUUCACAAGGUGCUGCAUGGUUGUCGUCAGCUCGUGCCGUGAGGUGUCAGGUUAAGUCCUAUAACGAGCGCAACCCCUAUUGUUAGUUGCUAGCAGGUAAAGCUGAGGACUCUAGCGAGACUGCCGGUGCAAACCGUGAGGAAGGUGGGGAUGACGUCAAAUCAUCACGGCCCUUACGUCCUGGGCUACACACGUGCUACAAUGGUAUGGACAAUGAGCAGCCAUCUGGCAACAGAGAGCG
rnacentral:rRNA from 1 species